rnacentral:lncRNA from 10 species
CACUGCACUCCAGCCUGGGCGACAGAGUGAGACCCUUUCUAUUUUGAGUUAGCACUGGCUGCCUUUGAAUAUUAAAACCUUUAGUUUUUUGUUCUAUUUAUUUCACUAUAAUCAUAAAAUUAUUAACAUUUAUUGUACACUAACCAUGUAUGUGUUAGGCACUGUGAAAUGUACAAAAAUUAAUAAAGCUACUUUUAUAUAGCAAUGAUUCUGUUUGAUUGUUCAUAGUAAUGUUACUACUCAUUUAAACAGGAGGAAAAGUCUUUAUAUUGUAUACAAUCAGUGUAGUUAUAGGG